UGAAGAGCGGUAAGACCGUUGCAGGUGGUUCCAGGUGUUCCCCUCCAUAGUGUGGGUCAUAGCUUGGACGUUAAGCCUGUUCGGCACGCUCUUCU
rnacentral:sRNA from 1 species